rnacentral:rRNA from 1 species
GAGUUUGAUCGUGGCUCAGAUUGAACGCUGGCGGCAUGCCUUACACAUGCAAGUCGAACGGCAGCACGGGAGCUUGCUCCUGGUGGCGAGUGGCGAACGGGUGAGUAAUGCAUCGGAACGUAUCCUGGAGUGGGGGAUAACGUAGCGAAAGUUACGCUAAUACCGCAUAUUCUGUGAGCAGGAAAGCGGGGGACCUUCGGGCCUCGCGCUCUUGGAGCGGCCGAUGUCGGAUUAGCUAGUUGGUGAGGUAAAGGCUCACCAAGGCGAUGAUCCGUAGCAGGUCUGAGAGGAUGAUCUGCCACACUGGAACUGAGACACGGUCCAGACUCCUACGGGAGGCAGCAGUGGGAAUUUUGGACAAUGGGGGCAACCCUGAUCCAGCCAUGCCGCGUGAGUGAAGAAGGCCUCGGUU